ensembl:snRNA U2 U2 spliceosomal RNA
AUACAUUUUUUCGAAAGAAAAUAUCUGUUCUUAUCAGUUUAAUAUACCCUACCCGGGGACCAUAUAUUAAAUUGAUUUUUGGAACUGGGAGAUGGAAUAGGGGCUUGAUCCGUCCACUCCACGCAUCGACCUGGUAUUGCAGUACCUCCAGGAACGGUGCACUCCAG